AAUGUGGAUAUUGCAUCAUUAACUGAAAUCCUUCCUACAUCAGACCCUAUUCACAAUCAACCUUCCUCAACAAAAUUAGCUGAAAUAGUGCCAGAUAAGUCUGGUGAAAUUGUUACUUACGAGAAAGUACCUAUUACUUGUUCCUGAUGUGGAUAAUGAAUCAAUCGGACAUUCUCCUUUGAGGCCAACAGUAACAGGUGAAAUUCAUACUUCAGAAACAGCAUUCCUUCCACCUGAAUCAUUAAAUGAGAGCUGUGUUGGAAUUAUAUCUUCUGAACACAAUUAUCAUCAGCUCCAGAAGAAGCCAAUAAAAGUUAAACAUCAGCAGUUGGAACCGCCGUCACUCUUGUUGAACCAACUAAAUACAACAAGAAGUAAAAUUAAGAGUUUGCAGUCAAAGCUGUUAAGAUCAUUAAAGCAAAACGAAAAGUUUGAAUCCAGACUAGCUGAUUCUGAAAAAAUGUCAA